rnacentral:rRNA from 1 species
AUGAAACACUCCUACGGGAGGCAGCAGUGGGGAAUAUUGGACAAUGGUCGGAAGACUGAUCCAGCCAUGCCGCGUGCAGGAAGACGGCCUUAUGGGUUGUAAACUGCUUUUGCAGGGGAAGAAUAAGGACUACGUGUAGUUUGAUGACGGUACUCUGCGAAUAAGCAUCGGCUAACUCCGUGCCAGCAGCCGCGGUAAUACGGAGGAUGCGAGCGUUAUCCGGAAUCAUCGGGUUUAAAGGGUCCGUAGGCGGGCUAAUAAGUCAGAGGUGAAAGCGCUCAGCUCAACUGAGCAACUGCCUUUGAAACUGUUAGUCUUGAAUGGUUGUGAAGUAGUUGGAAUGUGUAGUGUAGCGGUGAAAUGCUUAGAUAUUACACAGAACACCGAUAGCGAAGGCAUAUUACUAACAAUUAAUUGACGCUGAUGGACGAAAGCGUGGGGAGCGAACAGGAUUAGAUACCCUUGUAGUCCGAAGUUC